rnacentral:rRNA from 1 species
AUGUAUGAGUAUGGUGGAGGCCCGGAUGACUCUCUUCGUCACAGCCCUGUUCAAUUGAAAGAAGAAGACAUUGUCUCAAUGUCAACUGUUCUGGUGAACGGGAAAUAUGAAGAUUGCAGUGUCGUUGGGUUAAACCCCUUCUGCCAGCUUAACCUGGUGCCAGAAGCCAACUCUGACUUCUUGAAAGUUAAGUAUGACCACGAGGCAGUCAAGAAAGUGAAAGCCGCCGCCAUAAACGCCAAGAAAAUGAUCUCGAGGUCGAAAAAGAAGAAAAAGAGUACUGCUGAAGAUUUGAUGAAGCUUGAUGAUACAUCUGACUCAGAGGAUGACACUGGGGCCAGUCAGGCUGUGGAAGCAGAGGUAACUAUCAUUUCCUCUGACUCAGAGCCCUUGCCAAGACAAAAAGUAAGGUUUUCUAACCCUUUAGCUCACUUGGAUCCCAACUUUCGUUUGAAAACACGACAAUAUGAAAGCCGCCGUCAAGCUUGGACUGAAGAUGAGCCGGCUAUCGUUCAAAAAACUCCUCAGAAGCGUCCGAAUGAGGAGGUGUCUCUCUCUUCUGGCGACUCAUCGCAGAUGCAAUUUCCGGCCUUCAAGACUUGGUGGCCAAGCUAA